GACGAACGCUGGCGGCGUGCUUAACACAUGCAAGUCGAACGGCAAGGCCCUGCUUUUGUGGGGUGCUCGAGUGGCGAACGGGUGCGUAACACGUGAGUAACCUGCUCUUGACUUUGGGGUAACUUCAGGAAACUGGGGCUAAUCCCAGAUCGGAGACCCUGCUGCAUGGUGGGGGUUGGAAAGUUUAGGCGGUUGGGGAUGGACUCGCGGCUUAUCAGCUUGUUGGUGGGGUAGUGGAUUACCAAGGCUUUGUCGGGUAGCCGGCCGGUGUGGGUGACCGGCCACAUGGGGACUGAGAUACGGCCCAGACGCCUACGUGAGGCAGCAGGGGGGAAUAUUGCACAAUGGUCGGAAGCCUGAUGCAGCAACGCCGCGUGCGGGAUGACGGCCUUCGGGUUGUAAACCGCUUUCGCCUGUGACGAAGCGUGAGUGACGGUAAUGGGUAAAGAAGCACCGGCUAACUACGUG
rnacentral:rRNA from 1 species